rnacentral:snRNA from 1 species
GGAUGUGAAGGUGGUCUGGCUGUAGUAUCUGUCACCCCAUUGAUCACCAGGGUUGAUUCAGCUGAUCAGGCUGGCUAAGUGGGUGUCCCCUUCCUCCCUCACUGCUCCACGUGUGUCCUUCCUGAAGCUGCACACUUGGCUGAAGAUUAUUUUCCCCAAGAGAGGGAGACUUCUUCAGCCAAAGGUAUACAAGUAGCUGUGCUUUUCUGCUAGAACCCCCAAUACAGUGCAUGAGACAUAUUAGUUCCUGAUAAAUAAUUUUAAAAUGAAAUAUGCUAUUGACUUAUUCAGUAAAAGAUUU